ensembl:miRNA gga-mir-1806 gga-mir-1806
UGCUGAUUUUAUCUAUUCCUUGCAGGUUUUGCCUGUCGGUUUAAACAGACAAGGCAGGAUCACAAGGUCUGGAUAGCAAUUGGCA